GAUGAACGCUGGCGGCGUGCCUAAUACAUGCAAGUCGAGCGAACGGACGAGAAGCUUGCUUCUCUGAUGUUAGCGGCGGACGGGUGAGUAACACGUGGAUAACCUACCUAUAAGACUGGGAUAACUUCGGGAAACCGGAGCUAAUACCGGAUAAUAUUUUGAACCGCAUGGUUCAAAAGUGAAAGACGGUCUUGCUGUCACUUAUAGAUGGAUCCGCGCUGCAUUAGCUAGUUGGUAAGGUAACGGCUUACCAAGGCAACGAUGCAUAGCCGACCUGAGAGGGUGAUCGGCCACACUGGAACUGAGACACGGUCCAGACUCCUACGGGAGGCAGCAGGAGGGAAUCUUCCGCAAUGGGCGAAAGCCUGACGGAGCAACGCCGCGUGAGUGAUGAAGGUCUUCGGAUCGUAAAACUCUGUUAUUAGGGAAGAACAUAUGUGUAAGUAACUGUGCACAUCUUGACGGUACCUAAUCAGAAAGCCACGGCUAACUACGU
rnacentral:rRNA from 1 species